rnacentral:lncRNA from 1 species
UUUUUGAUAAGAUUCAUUUUAUUGAUGACAAAAAUAGAAAUACAACUCUGCAUUUGAAAAGUGAGUGAGGACCUCCUAAACUCAAUCUAACAAAAAAGAAAUACAUGACCAUCCCCUAUCUAAACAUGUUACAAUUACGUUCCUGAGAACAGUGUCUUCCAUAGAAGAGCCAACCCCUUCAAACUGUGUCUCUGUCUUGCCUCUUGAAUCGAUAGCCAAUGCCAAAAUCAGCCCCACCACCUCCAUUCUUACCCUGUCACUGCUACUGAUCUUUCCUCUGGAAUCUUUCCAUUUUUCUGGUAGAGUUGAAAACCUUCUUCUCUGUAACGACCUGUACUCACCUUAGGGGUAUUUAGUCAUUUUACUAGUAUAGUACAUUGCCACAUCAUUUUGUUUGUAAAGUGGAACGAUCAUGCAUGAGAAAACAUUGGAUAUAAGAACUCCUAGAAUGGUCAUGCAUCGAUAUGUGUAUUACAACCAAUUACGUAAAUAAGAAAUUGGGCGCAACAUAUAGAGGUGCCAUUGGGUGCAUCAUAGUAAAAAUUAAACAGUCAGGCAUUGUGCAUUUGUCCAUGGGGAAGCAUGAGCUGGAUGGUCAAAUAGAAGAUAAAAAAUUAGGAAUCAGUACUUUAUGGCUCAACUAGCAAAGGAUAAGCAUCAACCAGAUUUUUAUAUAAUAUAUAUAUAUAUAUAUAUAUAUAUUAUAUAAAUAAAGAACAGAAAGUAAAGAAGAAGAAGAACAGAAGAAAUACAGAAAGCUUUAUUCACAUAAAAUUAUUAAAACCAAAUUUAAAAACAAGAAAAGAAAAGAAAACUUACAAAUACUUGAGUAAUUCACAUAUAUAUACCCCCUGAAUAAAGUUUCAGGUGGAUAAUAGCACACCAAAGCUUAUAACUAGAAGGGAAAGGUUACAAGGAAAGCUUAAAAGAAAAGAUUACAAGUAGAGAAAGGAAGAAAAGAAAGGAGAAGGUUUGAGAGAGAGAGGGAGAGAGUAAGAGAGAGGGCUUGCUUCUGAGCGUUGAGAAGGCUCGAU